UGGGGAAUUUUGGACAAUGGGCGAAAGCCUGAUCCAGCAAUGCCGCGUGUGUGAAGAAGGCCUUCGGGUUGUAAAGCACUUUUGUCCGGAAAGAAAUCCUCUGGGUUAAUACCUCGGGGGGAUGACGGUACCGGAAGAAUAAGCACCGGCUAACUACGUGCCAGCAGCCGCGGUAAUACGUAGGGUGCAAGCGUUAAUCGGAAUUACUGGGCGUAAAGCGUGCGCAGGCGGUUUUGUAAGACGGAUGUGAAAUCCCCGGGCUUAACCUGGGAACUGCAUUCGUGACUGCAAGGCUAGAGUAUGGCAGAGGGGGGUAGAAUUCCACGUGUAGCAGUGAAAUGCGUAGAGAUGUGGAGGAAUACCGAUGGCGAAGGCAGCCCCCUGGGCCAAAUACUGACGCUCAUGCACGAAAGCGUGGGGAGCAAACAGGAUUAGAUACCCUGGUAGUCCACGCCCUAAACGAUGUCAACUAGUUGUUGGGGAUUCAUUUCCUUAGUAACGUAGCUAACGCGUGAAGUUGACCGCCUGGGGAGUACGGUCGCAAGAUUAAAACUCAAAGGAAUUGACGGGG
rnacentral:rRNA from 1 species